CUGCCCUCAAGCCCGGCUUGUGUGUUGGGCCCUGCUCCUCCGGGGGCAGGCCCGAAAGGCAGUGGCGGCACCGCGUCCGGUCCUCGAGCGUAUGGGGCUUUGUCACCCGCUCUGUAGGCCCGGCCGGCGCUUGCCGACCCCCAUCAAUCUUUUUUCA
rnacentral:misc_RNA from 1 species